GGGGUUUCGCUCUUUCGAUCGCUGCCUUCACACGGCAGAGGUCACUGGUUCGAUCCCAGUAGCGCCCA
rnacentral:tRNA from 1 species